UUUUAUUGUUUGUUUUUUUUUUUUUCAGGUGUUCGAAUGAAACCAUAUUCAAAAAAGAAGAUUUGUUUUGGGCAUAUAAUUUCUGCCCCACCCCAUACUCCUGGACAGCACUUCUGGGCCUUAUUUUAUACUUGGUUUUCUUUGCUCCUGGGAUGGGUCCCAUGCCCUGGACCGUGAAUUCUGAAAUCUAUCCUCUGUGGGCUAGAAGUACAGGAAACGCGUGUUCAUCUGGAGUCAAUUGGGUUUUCAACGUGCUGGUGUCACUGACCUUCCUGCAUACAGCUGAAUAUCUGACCUACUAUGGAGCCUUCUUUCUGUACGCAGGGUUUGCUGGCCUGGGACUCCUUUUCAUCUAUGGCUGCCUUCCUGAGACUAAAGGGAAAAAACUAGAGGAAAUUGAAUCUUUGUUUGAAAGCAGGCUAUGUACAUGUGGUAUGUCAGAUUCUGAUGAAGGGAGGUAUAUUGAGUAUAUUCGGGUGAAGGGAAGUAAUUACCAUCUUUCUGACAAUGAUGCUUCUGAUGUGGAAUAAUUUUCAGCUGCUAAUGUAUUUAAUCAUGUAAAAGCCUUCUGGGGGAAAAGCAGCUCUCUGGUGACCUCACUGCCCUGCUUCUGGUCUGGUUCUCCUUUCUGCUGUCUAGUUAAAAAUGCCUUCAUGUUCAAAAUGGCUCCGUUUGGGAGGAAAUUCAAUAUGCUCAUGUUUUCUUGAUAACUAAAAGCAAUGGCUUCCAAAAGUGAUUGAAUUCCACAAUUAUAUGAAUUAACCAGAUGUUUGCAAUCCUACACCAUGCUGAGGAAUUUUGCAUGAUGUACUGUGCCAGAUGAAUGUAGAAGGCUAUCCUAGGUGGUCAGUGGUUGUCCUUAUCUUCAAUGCUGACAGAAGUUGAAGUAAUGUUGUAGCUAGACAGAAAGCAGCUGACAACAGUCGGAUCCCCAUCUCUUAGCAGUCUAUCAGACAGCACUUGUAUGCCACACAACAAAGGUUGCUGCUGCAAUGGUGGCCAUUUGAAAGGAUUAACUGAUUGUAAAAGCUACAAAUAUCUCCUGUGUCUGUCAGAGGGAACGCUGUCCAAAUUCAUCCCAAUGGAAUUUCAUUUGUGUUCAUUUGAGAUACCUGUAGAGAGCCACGGUCACCUACAUGGUGCCUCAUUAGGGUGGCACGAGUCUGUUGUCCCACGUUGUGUUGUGGUUGCUGCUCUUUAAGGACACACUGCAGACAGCAGUUCGUGUUUGUGAGAUCCACUGCCAAAACAACAUUCUGAGAGCAGGAAACAGAACCCAGGACAUGGCUGCAUGCACCAAUGAGCUGGUGGUGUCCAUUGCUACAGACAACAGAGAGGCUACAGUCAGUUGGAAACUAAUGAUUUUUUUUCUCCUUUUCAGCAUGUGUACAUUUGUGUUUGUGCCUAGUUUUGAACACAAAAUAUCAUGAGCUGGAAGAAAUAAAAGGAAGGGAGAGGUUUUCUGCUGCUAAAUGCACAGUGGUCAUUCCUCCUGUGCCUUUUGCUAAUGAAUAAUCAAAUUGCCUUCAGUUUAUCUUCCUAUUGCAGAGUGAGUGAAUCCUAGCAAAUUUUUCCUUCAAAUGCCUUUAGUCAACCCGUGUCUUUCUGGAUUGAAAGAAAAAUAUUAGUGAUGGGCAGAAGCCUACAUCUCAUAUUAACUGCCUUACUGAAGCAUUGCAAAAUUGUCAAGAAACCGUCAGGCACAAAAAUCAAGUUGGCUGCCUUUAGUGUGGUAAUGAAAAUAUUAAUGGCAUUUUAUUCACCUGCCGUGAUUGCUUGCCUUGGCAAAUUGAAUUUUAGGCAGCUACAUAAAAGUGUAAUGUUAUUUUUUUUUCCUUGCCCUGUUUCCUUCCACGGCUUUAAUUCUUCAGAGGUAUGAGUUUGAAAGCAUAAAAAAUUCAAAUUCUUAUCUCUGAAACCUUUGCUUCAUGAAUGUGGAAAACCUCCUCUGCCUGUAGGCUGCUUCCCAUUUGCUUGGUAAAAAUACAUUUAUUUUUCAUUGUGUAAGGAUUAAAGAAGUUGUUGGAUUCACUACCUUUUAUCGAUACACUUUGUGGGCUCUUUUUGGAUUGAAAAAUAUUUUGAGUGUGAGAGAAAUGUCAAAAUGAUAGUGGACAUUUAUUACUAAAUUAUUUUUAUUGGAUAAUAUGUGGAGUUUUCGUUGUAAUCAUGAAGUAUGAUGCUAUGCUGUCUGAUCUUAUACAGGAGAGGUUUCUUACUCUCUAAUUAUUGAAAUUCAGUGAUAGGAUGUAUUUUAGGUUAUUUUCUUUUUCACUUCAUAAAUCAAAGAAAUAUUUUUGGAAAGAAAAUAUUUUAGAGCAUCCUUCUGUAACUUGACUGGGAAUAAAAGGGAAAAGCAUAGCAAACAGAGGGAGCGGUGAGUUACUGCAAAGAGCAGACUGACCUCGAACCUCUGACGGGCAGCGACAGGGCUGCAUCCCAAUCCUCCACCCUCCUUCCUUCUGUGUAAGCACACAAUAUUCCCAGGCUUGUAAGCACCGGCAGCUGGAAAGGACCGGCUCUCCGGCCCCUUAUCUGAAUGCAUCAGUUUCAGACCAUCCGUUGGGCUGCUGCCGCUUCAAAGCCUCGCCAAAGGUGCAGUACCUGAAAUGAGAGAAAGGGACACUUCUCACAGAUGAAGUUCAGGGUGAAUUGGUUUCCUCUGAGGGGUAUUUCCUGGAUUUUCAGGACGAGGACUAAUGGCUCUGAUCCCCAGAAGCGUGAGCCCAAGGUCCCUUGAUGGAAGCGGUUUGUGCUCCCAGUUCCAGCACUUACCUCCAUGUCCACAGGUAGAGGAAACAGCAGCACUUUGGUGGCAUAACCAAAGUGAAGUCCCUAUGAAAACUGCCGUCACAAGAUCAGCCUCUUUUUUUUCUUGCAGGCAGUGCUGGGACUUUUUAGCAGCAGAAGACAAUCUCUCUUUGCCAGCGUUGUUUCAUGGACGUUCUCAGAAGUGGCAUUCAGUUGUGUGCAGCACUAGGUUAUUUCCCACACUACAAUUCAGUCUCUCUUAGAACAGUUUUCUGAAGUUCUACAUCCUGGGCCCUUUUUUUGAGGCAAAGUGAUUGAAUCACAAGCAUCUUGUUUAUUGUCACUACUUCUUAUGAGGAUGCAAAAUAUACUGGCUUCUUUGCUUUUCCUUUUUCUUUGCUUUCCCUUUUCUACCCACAGAGUUGGGUUUUAGUCUUCCUCUUAGGGUUGCUUUACACAAAAGAAACAUUCCACACCUUAUAAACCCCAGACCUACUACCAAGCAUCAUGUAUCUUAAAAGUGAGAUCAAAUACUUGAAAUUAAUCUUACACAAUUAGGGUUUUAUUUUUAGAAUCUGUGAACAUUUAUAAUGUAUGAAGAUGAUUAAACAAAUGUUUCUAUUUUGCAAAGAUUUUUAUAUUUGUGCAUACUUUAAGUUUUAAGAAUUUUUGCUGAGGGUAGUGCUAGUGACAUUCCAGACAGAAGAAUACAAAUACAAUUGCAGUUGAGUCAUUUCUUAUGACAGAACGUUAAUUUAUGAAGUAGCAAAGUAGUACACCUAAGCACAAUGUCAUUCUACAGACAGCUUUCUGCAGGAGGUGGGUAAGAGUUCCUUUGCAGGGACUGCACCUUCAUUCAGGUAUUCUGUGCAUGAGGAGCAUUGCUGGUAGAGCUGUGCGUGGCUCACACACUGAUCACACACAACAGUUUGAAAUAUUUCAGCAGCUCAGAUUCUUUACGGGUAUGGGCCUACGAGCAAGAAUAAAAGGAACAAUUCCUGAUGAGUUUUUAACCUUUCAUAUUUUAAUUCACCUUAAUUCACCUAUGGAGGUUUAUUAACCAUACUCAAAUUCUUACAGUGUUGUUGGGGGUGAAAUAAUUUGCAACUUGUUUCUUCCCACUGUCACUUUGUUGCUCAAAAUCAUUUUCUAAAGGGAGGAACAAACUUGGUUUUAAAAGAAAACCAAACCAACAAAAGCCAAGCAAGCCCCUGGGACUCCUUUGAGGGCUGAAGCUGCAUUGUAUGCGUGCGCCUUAGGUUGCUGCCAUAGACAUUGACAACCAGCGAGUCUCAGUGCCUGCCCUGUCAGACAGUGUGGGGUAAGAAACGAAAGAUGUGUCACGUUUCAGUAGGGAUAGGAUUGGAGCUGACAGGAGCUGUUGGCUUCUCUCCUGUGGGGCAGAAGGACAGGGGACCAGGGAGGUUCCCGGUGCAGGUGGCGUCCUGCAGAAGGCAGUGGGACGGGCAGGCUAAGGGCAGGGGCUGUGUUUCCCCUCAUCAUGGGGGUGAGGACAAGGCAAUAGAGAUAGCAAAGCGAAUGCUUUCUUCCUUUGUGAAGUCUCUGUUUGUCCUCAGCUGGAAAUAGGAGGAAGUUUUGACUGAAGCUCGCUGCGGGGCUCCUGGCCCUGGGCGAGGCCUGUCCUUUGGGCACUCCUUGCAAACACACUGUGGGUCGGUCAGCGCAGGCCCCGUGCUUCUCAGCCUCACACCCGCCCUCCACUGCUCAGUGUAGUGCUGCUCCAACACAGACAUCUUGAAGUUCUCCUUGCGAUUGCCUUAGAGGCUCUGCAGGCCAAACUCAGCGGGGACGGGUCAGAGCCUUCAUUGCACAGAGUAGGAGCUAAGUCAGAGUAGCAAGUCCUGCAAAGCACUUUAACGAGUCAGAUAUCUGUGCACUCUUUUCUGAGAGAGCCAAGCCAACCGAACCCCAUUCCUCAUUGGGAAGAAAACAGAGCUUUGUGUACCAGGCCAGAAGCAGAUAAUGCCACAGUAUGUGCUUUAUGGCAAAAUGUGUUUUUAUUGCAGGUAAUAUUUACAGCUUACAUGUAGCUGCUGCCUAUCAAGUGACACAAUUGUUCUCUGGAUUUUAACGAGUCACAUUUUUGUGCAAAACUCUUGGUGGUUUUCUAUCAAUCUCCAUCGCCUUGUGUACAGUACAGUAAGCGUAGUCCACAAAGUGGUCUAGGUUGUGGCAGUGUUAAAAACGUCAGCACAGUAAAACCUAGGUGAACAUUGUUAAAGAAUAAUGUUGUUAGUGAUAUCAGGGGUUAAAACUCCUUAAAGGCAACUAUAUUAUAGAUUUUAAAAGUCUGAAAAAAAAAAAAAAGGCAAUUCUUAUCUAUUUUGUGUAUGUUUUCAUAUAGAGAGUUUUUUAUGUGCCGAUAACCAUCACUGUAGUGUUUUGUAAAUGGGUGUUAAUGGUGUUCCAGAGUUGUGUAUAUGAGCAUUCCCUUUAGCCAGGCUGAGCUGUCAGUGUGACCCAGCAGCAUGUUUCAGACCUCUCGGCGCCUCUCCUUGAGGCUCACUGUCAGCUUCACUACAGCACACUGGGAGCUGGACCAGAACCCGGCCUCGGGAACCUACAGUUCACCUCAAGCCCCACUUCUUCGCGUUUUUCCUACACGGUGUGUUACAGCUGAAUGACUUGGUGUGUGUAAUGAUAAAGCUUCAAGUGUGCUUCAGUUGCACUCCGAUCUUUCAAAAUUCAGUUUGACAUUUCAUUGUAUUUGCACAAGUAAGGGGAGCGCUGAUUAAUUAUGAAUAACGUCCCUGUAUUUCUAAAGGAAACAUCCGUUCAGGAAGUGUCAAAAUAAAGGCAAAUUUCUCUCACUGCCUUAAACAUUACACAGACUUUGGAGAGGACUGAAUGUAGGACUGUCGUCGUGGCUUCUGCAGGAGAAACUUCAGCUGGUGGGCUGGGUGCUGGGGGGAAGCCCAAGGGUUCCAUGGUGCUGGGCUGCCAGCCCCAGCUCGUGCCCCACCCUGGCUGGUGCCAGCCCGCUGUCUGAGCGCUGUUGGGCAUCUGAGUGGUGCCCAUGAAAGUGAUGGGAUGAUUGUUCGCGACCUUCUUCAUGUGCUCCAGUGUCCUGCUGGUCCGGGGCAUAGCGGGAAUUGGCACAAGUCUUGUGUCUGCCUUUCAUCUGGAAUCUCACAACCCUACAAAAGCAUCGCCCGGGUCUUUCUGCCACGAAUUCUCUUUAGGGUAUUUGAGACUUUAUUGGAGACCAAAUUGGUAGAAAUAACUGCUUUAGCUUUCCAUAAUAACAUGCAUAUGGUGCCAUCAGGAUGCAUGGUGUGGUAUUUGGUACAAAACAGGUUUGGGCAAAACUCACUGUCAGGUCAUCCAAGUUAUUUUGUUAUCCGAACAAUGUCGAACAUGCGCCAUUUCCUUUUGCAGCCAGUCAAGCCUAUAAUGUAUGAAAGUGUUGUACAUUUUCUGAAACUUCGGUGAUGUAUAAUUAUUUAAUUGACUUCUGUUCUGAUUGCUUUAAUGACGUUUGGUCUUUACAUAAAAGUAAAUAUCUUCAAAGAAUUGUCAGUGCCAGAAGUGUAAAUGAACAAAAUAAAAGGUGAUACUUAA